rnacentral:tmRNA from 1 species
GGGGCGGAUUUAGGAUUCGACAAGAUUCACGAAACCCAAGGUGCAUGCCCAGGGGCGGUUGGCCUGGUAAAAAGCCGCAAAACUAUAGUUGCAAACGACGAAACGUUCGCACUAGCAGCUUAAUGCUAGCCAUCCCCGUAAAGCUUCACCUAUAGGCUUGCGGUGUCGAUGGUCAUAUCAAUAUGGGUUAGCGAGGGAACUGUGUCUGACGGUGAACCGCGAAACAGUAUCAGACUCACCAGAACGUAGCCUGUCGCUCGGCGACUGACUGGUUAAAUAAAAGAGUGACUAAGCAUGUAGGACCGAGGAUGUAGGUUUUUUGGACGGGGGUUCAACUCCCCCCCGCUCCACCA